rnacentral:lncRNA from 1 species
CGGCCAUGUAAAAUCACAAGUGCUUGUAUUUGUAAUAAUAAAGUCGCAGCUGUUGCUGUCCAUCAUGGCUCUGAAGAACUUGAGACUCCUCCUUGCACACAGUUUUUGCCUGACCACUCCGGCUUUGCCUGAAACUUCCAGAAAGGAUCAUCAGAACAAUGAAGUAUCGGCGCAUAUUUCCGGUGGAAUCCUUGACUAAGGUGGAAAAUCCAUGGAAGGGCAUCACUCUGAACCGCUGUAUAUUAGUGGCCAUGGUCGUUGUGGUGGUCAGCUCAACGGUUGAGAUAGUACAAGAGACAAUAGAGCCAUACUUUGAAGCACCAGAAGAAGAACCUGGAUCAGAGCUUCAGGCUGGUGAAGCAGAGUCUGAUUCAUGGUGGGACACCUUUGCAUUUUGGAACUGGGGAUCUGAGGAUGAACUGGAAGAGUUUAAAAAGAAAAGAGCAGCAAGGCCUAAGCAGGAUGGAGAGAAGGUUGGACCACGGAAGAUCCGUAACAAAGAAAUGGCUAAAGGAUUUCUCAAGGAGAGGGAAUAGUCUGGGAGGGAAUAUUCCUAAAACAGUUAUAAAGAUGAAAUAAAUAAAUAUUAUAUAUAAGUAUACAC